CAGUGUCUGGCUCUCCAAACACCACCAGAGUGCUCUGUAAGGAGCACCGCAGUCAGGAACGUUUGGCCUUCGACAGGUGUCCCUGAAGACCAAAGCCAACCGGAGGCUCAAAGGAUGGAAACCUUGAAGGUGACAUCAAGGCAGGGGUCACUCUCCAAGUUGAAAAACAUGUCAAGGUAGCUUUUUAUUCUGCUGCUACUGGUUUCUAUAGUCAGUGGCUGAUUUCAAACACCCAGCUGAGAGGACACUGCUUAGGCAAGAUCAAGGCUCCCACUGACAGCUCAGAUGCCUGCGGAAGGCUCAACCAUACCACUCUGGGAGGCACCGGAGACACCAUCUUCCACAGACUGUUCCAGGAGCAGCAGGAGACCUGGACCAUUCAGGCUCCCCUGCACCUCAAAGGAGACCAUCCCAGCUGCCUGUUCAUUGUGCAGUUCAUCUUGGGCUGGCGUACCUGUGGCACCGGGGAAGGGCCGAUUGCCUUCCAUGUUCCCUCCAGGUUUUCAUCCAGCCUCUGGCUUGUUCCACCCCUCUGCUAUAUUCUCAUUAGCAAAAAGAAGGAGGAAAAAUUUCCUUCUAGACUUCGUCUUCUGAUCUAGCCAGAUAGUGGAUAAAUAAAUAACAAAGAGGAAAUA
ensembl:lncRNA